CUCCUUUUCCACCUUCAUCCAGAAUCUACCAAUCAUACCAUAUAUCCAGAGCUGAAAUAACUGCAGUAUCUCUUUAUUUCCAGGAGUAGAAUAACUAGAACUUUCCAGGGUCCACAGCACUGGAGAAGACUGGAGAGGAUGCCUGAACUG
rnacentral:lncRNA from 11 species